rnacentral:tmRNA from 1 species
GGGGCCGACUUGGAUUUGACUGCAAUAGCGGUAGAUAUACAAGCAUGUCGAGUAACGCAUUUGAUCUCGUAAAACUCUGAGUGCAAAUCAAGAAUAAUUGACAACAAUAAUUCUUACGCGUUAGCUGCGUAAUCGGAUAAAUUCUGAUUGCCUUAAUCCACUCUGAAGUAUAGUAGGAGGGACUAACUACUCACCACAAUUUUGCCUGAUGGUUGCGGAAUUUGGGUAUCGAUAAUUGGGCUGGUCAGUACAGGGCUGUGAUGUGCUGACGAGAUUUUACUGCAGCUUAGGUUAAAAGUAGGGUGUCUGUGUCCGGCUUUUAACUGAACUCUAACCACAGAAUAAACAUGUAGAAAUUAUAUAGACCCGUUGUUAGGACGAGGGUUCGAUCCCCUCCGGCUCCACAA